CAACCCAUACAGCGAUGUAUGACUGAACGUCCAGAAGUCAGCAGAGGCCAUAGUACCGCGAAGGGGAUAAUUCUCUGGAAAACGGACGGGAACGAACGGAGCGGGAAGGGC
rfam:Termite gut metagenome tgut2b_Contig35672, whole genome shotgun sequence.